rnacentral:tRNA from 1 species
GCGCCAGACGGGUUGAAUCCCCGUCUGGCUUCGAACCAGAGGGUCGGGAGUUCGAGUCUCUCCGGGCGCGCCA